AGGCAGCCAGGAUGUUGGCUUAGAAGCAGCCAUCAUUUAAAGAAAGCGUAAUAGCUCACUGGUCGAGUCGGCCUGCGCGGAAGAUGUAACGGGGCUAAACCAUGCACCGAAGCUGCGGCAGCGACGCUUAUGCGUUGUUGGGUAGGGGAGCGUUCUGUAAGCCUGCGAAGGUGUGCUGUGAGGCAUGCUGGAGGUAUCAGAAGUGCGAAUGCUGACAUAAGUAACGAUAAAGCGGGUGAAAAGCCCGCUCGCCGGAAGACCAAGGGUUCCUGUCCAACGUUAAUCGGGGCAGGGUGAGUCGACCCCUAAGG
rnacentral:rRNA from 1 species